rnacentral:rRNA from 1 species
GCGAGCGGAGGGCGCGGUCGAAAGAUCGUGGCCCCGCACACGGCUCAGUAACACGUAGUCAACCUACCCUUGGGACGGGGACAACCUCGGGAAACUGAGGCUAAUUCCCGAUAGGCGAGGGACGCUGGGAUGCCUCCUCGCCCAAAGCUCCGGCGCCCGAGGAUGGGACUGCGGCCUAUCAGGCUGUUGGUGGUGUGACGGACCACCAAACCUACGACGGGUACGGGCGAUGGGAGUCGGAGCCCGGAGAUGGGGACUGAGACAAGGCCCCAGGCCCUACGGGGCGCAGCAGGCGCGAAAACUCCGCAAUGCGCGCAAGCGUGACGGGGGAAUCCCAAGUGCCGUUGGUCUUAUGAUCGACGGUUUUUAGGAAGUCUAAGAAGCUUCCAGAAUAAGGGCUGGGCAAGACUGGUGCCAGCCGCCGCGGUAACACCAGCAGCCCAAGUGGUGACCACGAUUAUUGGGCCUAAAGCGCUCGUAGCCGGAUCAGCAAGUCCCUUGUGAAAUCGGGCCGCCUAACGGUUCGGCGUGCAAGGGAUACUGUUGGUCUUGAGGCCGGGAGAGGUCGGAGGUACUCCUGGGGUAGCGGUGAAAUGCUCUAAUCCUAGGAGGACCACCAGUGGCGAAGGCUGCUGACUAGAACACGCCUGACGGUGAGGGACGAAAGCUGGGGUAGCGAAUCGGAUUAGAUACCCGAGUAGUCCCAGCCGUAAACGAUGCAGGCUAGGUGUUGGGUUGGCCACGU